rnacentral:rRNA from 1 species
CAGCAGCCGCGGUAAUACGUAGGUCCCGAGCGUCGUCCGGAUUUAUUGGGCGUAAAGCGAGCGCAGGCGGUUAGAUAAGUCUGAAGUUAAAGGCUGUGGCUUAACCAUAGUACGCUUUGGAAACUGUUUAACUUGAGUGCAAGAGGGGAGAGUGGAAUUCCAUGUGUAGCGGUGAAAUACGUAGAUAUAUGGAGGAACACCGGUGGCGAAAGCGGCUCUCUGGCUUGUAACUGUCGCUGAGGCUCGAAAGCGUCGGGAGCAAGCAGGAUUAGAUACCCCAGUGUCCCUGUCUCUUAUACAC